GACAGAGGUGCCGAGCGUUAGGCGGAAUCACUGGGCUUAAAGCGUGUGUAGGCGGACUUGUAAGUACCUUGUGAAAUCCCACAGCUCAACUGUGGAACUGCUUGGUAUACUGCUUGUCUUGAGCCACUUAGGGGCAGUCGGAACAGACGGUGGAGCGGUGAAAUGCGUAGAUAUCGUCUGGAACGCCAAAGGUGAAAACAGAACUGCUGGGAGUGUGCUGACGCUGAGACACGAAAGCCAGGGGAGCAAAGCGGG
rnacentral:rRNA from 1 species